GACGAACGCUGGCGGCGUGCUUAACACAUGCAAGUCGAACGGAAAGGCCCUGCUUUUGUGGGGUGCUCGAGUGGCGAACGGGUGAGUAACACGUGAGUAACCUGCCCUUGACUUUGGGAUAACUUCAGGAAACUGGGGCUAAUACCGGAUAGGAGCUCCUGCUGCAUGGUGGGGGUUGGAAAGUUUCGGCGGUUGGGGAUGGACUCGCGGCUUAUCAGCUUGUUGGUGGGGUAGUGGCUUACCAAGGCUUUGACGGGUAGCCGGCCUGAGAGGGUGACCGGCCACAUUGGGACUGAGAUACGGCCCAGACUCCUACGGGAGGCAGCAGUGGGGAAUAUUGCACAAUGGGCGGAAGCCUGAUGCAGCAACGCCGCGUGCGGGAUGACGGCCUUCGGGUUGUAAACCGCUUUCGCCUGUGACGAAGCGUGAGUGACGGUAAUGGGUAAAGAAGCACCGGCUAACUACGUGCCAGCAGCCGCGGUGAUACGUAGGGUGCGAGCGUUGUCCGGAUUUAUUGGGCGUAAAGGGCUCGUAGGUGGUUGAUCGCGUCGGAAGUGUAAUCUUGGGGCUUAACCCUGAGCGUGCUUUCGAUACGGGUUGACUUGAGGAAGGUAGGGGAGAAUGGAAUUCCUGGUGGAGCGGUGGAAUGCGCAGAUAUCAGGAGGAACACCAGUGGCGAAGGCGGUUCUCUGGGCCUUUCCUGACGCUGAGGAGCGAAAGCGUGGGGAGCGAACAGGCUUAGAUACCCUGGUAGUCCACGCUGUAAACGGUGGGUACUAGGUGUGGGGUCCAUUCCACGGGUUCCGUGCCGUAGCUAACGCUUUAAGUACCCCGCCUGGGGAGUACGGCCGCAAGGCUAAAACUCAAAGGAAUUGACGGGGCCCCGCACAAGCGGCGGAGCAUGCGGAUUAAUUCGAUGCAACGCGUAGAACCUUACCUGGGUUUGACAUGGAUCGGGAGUGCUCAGAGAUGGGUGUGCCUCUUUUGGGGUCGGUUCACAGGUGGUGCAUGCCUGUCGUCAGCUCGUGUCGUGAGAUGUUGGGUUAAGUCCCGCAACGAGCGCAACCCUUGUUCACUGUUGCCAGCACGUUAUGGUGGGGACUCAGUGGAGACCGCCGGGGUCAACUCGGAGGAAGGUGGGGAUGACGUCAAGUCCUCAUGCCCCUUAUGUCCAGGGCUUCACGCAUGCUACAAUGGCUGGUACAGAGAGUGGCGAGCCUGUGAGGGUGAGCGAAUCUCGGAAAGCCGGUCUCAGUUCGGAUUGGGGUCUGCAACUCGACCUCAUGAAGUCGGAGUCGCUAGUAAUCGCAGAUCAGCAACGCUGCGGCGAAUACGUUCCCGGGGCU
rnacentral:rRNA from 1 species